ncrna:unclassified sequences c-di-GMP-II-GAG riboswitch
CCCGGACCGGGAAGCGAUGAACCGUCGGGCGUCGACCGGUCGCCCUGGGAUGACCUUCGUGCCAUCUCACACCCGACGGGGAGCAAGAGGCGAGACCGACCCGGCUGUCG